GGUACAACUACCAAAGCUGGGCCUGGAAUAUCAGACACUGCCCUGGCUCACAUGCUCAGAUCUCUCUCACCGAUGUGUGUGCCGGAAGAUGAUGGUGAAUGGGACUCUGGUUGGGAUCACAUGUCCACCCCUGGGACUUCUACAUGUGUUGACUCUUCCCCUGGACAUUUUAAGGCUUUUUUAGGCUAUUUUGCCAGAAAAAAAGGAUGCAGUGGAGCAUAGCAUACUUAGAAAAAAUAAAUAAACUCAAGCAUCUUGUGCUUAUAAUACUUCUUAUAAAAUCCAAUGAGACAAA